CGCGGUUUAUUCGGGAUUAAAAACAUGCGAGUCGAGAGAUUCCCGAUCUCGACAUACUGCUCACUAACUCGUGGUCCAUCUACCCUAUGGUGUAGGAUACCCCCCGGAAACUGGAUUUAGUACUCCAUAUUUGACAUGUAUUGAAAUUAUCAUCUCAUACAACGAUCCGUCACCUUACGAUGAGACUGCGCCCUAUUACGUUGAUGAUGGCGUAUAUGCCCACCUUGCCUAUAAACGGUACGGGUUGUGGGACCUUUACCCCGGAGAUGGACUCUGACACACAACUCCAAGACCUACAGUGCGCAACAGGCCCGAAACCUUUACCAUGCAGCCAACCGUGAUAAUGAAACCCCGAGUGGAUGAACAGUCAUCCUGUCCAUCAGUUUACAACCCUGGUGAACAAUUGCCCGGGCAAGACCGGUGCCAGCCGCCGCGAUAAUACCGUCUGCUCUAGUGGUGGCCACUAUUACUGGGUCUUAAAAGUUCCGUAGCUUGCAUGAUCAGUCUCUUGAUAAAUCCACUGGCUUAACCAAUGGUCGUUCAGGAGAUACUGUCAUGCUCUGGACCGGGAGAGAUAAUGGUUACUGCCGGGAUAAGAGUGAAAUACUGUAAUCCUGGUGGGACCACCAGUGGCUAAGGCGCCUUACCAAAACGGCUCCGACAAUGAUGUACGAAAGCUGGCGGACCAAACCGAAUUAUAUACCCUGGUAGACCCAACCGUAUACGAUGCGCGUUAAGUGUGUCACUGACCACACGUCACUGAGGUGCCUAAAGGAAACCGUGACACUCUCCUCCUGCGAAGUACCGUCUCAAGGCUGAGACUCAGAGGAAUUGAUCGCAUCUA
rnacentral:rRNA from 1 species